rnacentral:lncRNA from 1 species
UUUUUUCUUUUCCCUUCCUUUCUUUAAGUUAUCCUAUUAAGGAUUGAUACUAAGCACAGCAGAUCUAUUCCAUUAUUGAAAGAACAUUAAAUCAUCUAGCUUGAACCACAACCAGUGUCUUUUAUCACCUCAAAGCACCUUCUAAACUGCCUUAAUUAAAAUGGUCUGUUUACUAGGAUAUUGUUUAAAUUGCUCUUCCUCAUGAACUUGGUCUCCAUUCAUUCAUUCUUCGUGUUCCUUCAGGAUUACUAACAACAACCUUCAGUGCAGGAACUAAUUGCAAGGGAUCUUCAUGAUAAUGAAUGGAAAUGCAGAUAUAUCUUAAUGAUUGACUAUCUUAUUGGGGGAAUGUGUUAUAUACCUAGCAGCCGGCUAGGUGUGGUACUUCAUAUGGUAUUGCUGGUAGAAGAGAAAAGGGGAGCAGGGGUAGAAGCUUGAG